rnacentral:lncRNA from 1 species
AAGUGACAUGUCAGAGCUGCGAUUGCCUUCAGUAGUCCAGUUUUAAGUCCAAAGCCUUAAUCGUUCUUUCUGGAUACCCAGUACCUUAUAAUGCAGGUCUAUGGAAUUGGACUUCAGACCAAAGUCGACAGGUCUUUAAAAAGACCUGCACGUACCAGCUAACACCUAUGAUCGGUGUACGUCCCACAUUCCAGAAACCAAACCUUGGUAGGAAAACGAUAAGGUCCCCAGGAAGACAAGA